GACUCAGUGGUUGACUCAAAGGCUAGAGGGUGGUUUGGGGGUGGAGGCAGAGGUCCAGUGAGCUGGGCUCCACCCUUUCUCUCCCUGCAGUCCCAACUCCAUUUUUAUCUGUGCUAUAUGUUGGAGUCUAGCCAAGAUGUCAUUUGAACAAAGAUUCUGAAAGAUCAAAGAAAAAAGUUUGAAAACCACCAGGACAAUGCUUUCAGGGGACUUUAUCCAAAAGACUGCAACAAUGUAAAGAGAUACGAUUGCUUUUAUUACUGUGAUAUGUUUAAAGUAUUAUAAAUUUUUUAAGAGCUUUGUAAGUGACAGAAGUGAAGACAUGCUCAUUUUAAUGUUACCAGUCAACUCUGAGAAGACUAAAGGUCAAGGGACAAUGAAAAUGUGACCCUUACCAACGACAGAAACUCCCAGGAAGCCACAAUUAACUCAAGACCACCAGGAUAUUUGGGGAAGUUUAUCCUUCUGGAAACCAGAAUUUCUGAUUUGUGGAAAAUUCUAUAGAUAUUCUCUGCCAGACUCCAGCCUAUUUGUGUGAGACAUCUGGGGAGGCUCCCCUUUUUUUCACCAUUUGAGGACUGAAAGUAAAUUUAGCUUCCUCAGCAGAAAGAAAAGAAGCUGUUUUGGAGGUUGGGAAGAGCUUUAGAAAAUGCGGCAUCACGUCUGUUGCCCCAUUUGAAGAAAGCAGCUCUGGAAAAGGCCUAGGACAUUAGUUGCUACAAAGUUCUAGAUCAUUCUGUGUGGUAAAGAAGUGCCUUUCACCUCCCACUGUGAUUCUGAGGCCUCCCCAGCCAUGUGGAACUAUUCCAGAAACUUUCACUGUUAUGAAGAUGGCUCUCAGUUUUCCUGCUGGAUUCAGAUUCUCUUCAUGACUUAAAACAACAUGAGGAGGAUGAGUCACAACUGUAAGCUGGUGAAAUGCAGAAAGAACCACCUAGGAAUUCAAAUGUCAGCUUAAGAAAGACAGAAUGGCUUAAAAAUCAAAGAUGAGAUGAAGUGGACUGGGGGUCUCGGGAACACCAAGUCACAAAAUCAGCUUACAGUCAGAGGGAACUUGCAAAUGAUCUGAUUCAAGAUACAAAGAAAGGUUUUAGUUCUUGAGGACUUUUUCCAGAUAAAUAUUUGAGCCAAAGCACAAUAUAAGAAAAAGAUGCAAGUGGAACAGCUCCUUCAAGCAGUGGGGGAUGUUAAGGAAAAGCAGGGAAAAUCAGCUGAGAAUCCUCCGUCCCACCCCCAAGACUCCUGCAACCUAGCUGAGAGCCACAGAACUGGUCCUCUCUCUCCGGCUGUUCUCCAACAUCCCAGAGCCUUAGGUGGGGCUACACUAAGAGGAAGUCCUCCAAGGAAACUCUCAGGAUUAGACCAGUCUUUUUCUGCUAGUGGUCUUUGAUAAGCCUACAUGGUAAAGAGUGGGAUUCACUGACUUAUCUGUAGUAGAUAUUAUUAAAUAUGUCUCAAAGCAUCUCCCCCACCUUCUCACACCCACCCAUUAGAACAGGAUGUUAUCUACAGGCUGAUACCUCCCCACUCCCUCCACCUCCCUUCUAAUACAUGGCACCAAGACACUGCCUAGGACCUAACAAGUGAUUGGCCCCUCCUUCUCCAAGACAUUCCCCUCUUCCUUUUUCUCUUUUAAGCCCAGAGGGCCUGACCCUCUAACGCCUGUCCCAGACCACUCUCUCCCUCCAGGAGCCUGCCAAGUUGAACACAAAGUCCUACCACCCCUGCCCUCAACACAGACUUCUCCAAAACAAGUCCACAAACACCAUUCAGGAUGAUUCCUGCUAAGACCCACAGGGUGGGAGUGAUAAAAUUUCCAGUAACAUCUACCAUGAUAUUACUUACAAUCCUAAAAGAGGAAAUGUUCUGUAUUACAUAAAACAUGUCCAAGGUCCUCCUACAAGUACGAGUGAAUCCGUGCCUGGUUCUUCUUUGUCUUCGGAUCCUGCCACCUCAUCCCUGUCGUCAUCUGUCUAAGUUUUGCUUUAGAAGCCACCCUCGGUCAAACCUUCACUCUCUUACACAAUGAGCUGGGCAUCCUCAGUUUCCCCUUCAUGCUAAAAGUAAGCCCCAUGUUUUGUGCAUGUGCCCACACCAUUUCCUCAAGUUCUUGCUCCUAAAGGUAACAGGGCCUGGGUAAGGCACUUCCUGCAGAGAUCAAAGGAGACUCGUUCACACCCAGGAGGAGGAAUAUUCUUCCUGUUCUACCCCAUUUAACCCUGUCCCCUCAACCCAGAGGUGUCCUCACUGUCCAGCAAGUGCUUCAGGCCUGCAGUUCUGCUGUUACCCUAUUUUGAAUCUCAUAGGUGUGGAAGCAUGUGUUGGCGGGGAGGGGCAGGAAGGUUUGUCCGCCAGGAAGAAGAAACGAGUGUGUCGGUAUGUGUGUGUGAGCGCCGCAAUGACAGUGCUGCCACCGCUGCUGCUGCAUGUGCUGGGUCUUUGAAUGUGGCAUCUGUCGGGCUCAGUGAGGAUGACAGAUGUCUCUCUGCUUUAUGAACAAACAACACAGGCCUGUGGGGUGACAAAAACAGCCUCAGCCCAACCAGAGCGGAGAGGUGCAGUUCUCUGGGAAUAAUCAGAAGACAGCAGCGUAGGAGUCCAGAGUCUACCACACACCUGCUCCCCUAAAAAAGCAUGUUCUCAUUAUGAAACCUUAGAAGGCAGCUCCCACGCCAGGGACAAGUAUAAGGGAGCCUGUGUGGCCUCAUUCAUUACCAGAUGAACCACUCAUUCAGGGAAGUCUUGAGGCAUGUCCAGGAAAUGGCGCCCCAAAGACCCAGUUAACCCACAGGGUGAGUGCCCACGGAGAUGGGAGCUCUGGGGGUGACACUGUUGAGCCAGUGGAUCAAGCUUCACCCUGAGUCAACCCUAAUUCUGUGUUUUUCAAAUAAAUAAGCCAAUCAAUUUUCCUGUUCAUUUCUGUAUCCCCAGCACCUAGAACAGUGCCUGGCACACAGUAGGUGCCCAGUGGACAUUCGCUGAAAGAACAAACGAAUGCCAAGGCAGAAAAUGGGGGUGAGAGGCAAAGAUGUAUAAAAAAAGAACUAAGCAGAGCAAAGCGAUAAGAAGAAUAUUAAUAAUAUGAACCACAAAGACAGGAAAGUCAUCUGAUUUCAAUACACAAGAGUAUAAACUCAUUAUGGAUGCUGAAUUACACUAGUGAUAGUUUAAAUAUUUCUUGGAACUGAAUAUGCACAUAAGAAGAGCCCAUCCCAGGCUUGAAUGAGUGCACAUUCUUGUCUUGGAGAAAAGGAAGAAAAAUAUAUAAAGCAAUAGGUACAAUACAAUGCAACAGAUGUUCUAGAACAAAGGCCUGGAGCUAUGAUUCCAGGGCAGCCUGCAAAGAUCUCCCAGUGGAGCUGAUGAUUAGCAGGCCUUGAAGCAAGGAUGGAAGCCUGGCAAGAGGCAGGUCAGUCAUCACAGGCAGGGAUGACAGCUUCCAAGAACUAUGUCGUCUGUGAGCCCAGGGGCCAGAGAGCUGCUGGGUUUCCCAGUCUUUCCAGGCUAUGGCCAAACUGAUGAAGCCAUCCUUGUUUCAGUCUCUGAUUCCUUCAGAGAAGAAGAAAGAGUUGAGUCUAGCAGAGUCUCACUCUGCCUGGACGCCUGCUGUACCAGGAGAGCACUCCCUCCACAUGCCACUCUAAACAGAAAUACUCCCCGGAGCACCUGGGACGACCGGCAUCCUCUGCACUUCCAAGGCCUUCACUCUUCCCAGUUUUGCUUACUUCUUCUCAUCUUCCCAUUCACUUCCCAGAUGUGUUUCUCGGGUCUCCAAAGGGAAACUCAGGGGAGAAACUGAGUCAAGCUACUUUAAAUCUCCUUUCCUACCUGGCCCUUUCCACAGCACUCAGCCCAGAAGAGGUGCUCUGGGUGAAACAAAGCAGCAGUCGGAAUCUCUGCAGGCCACAGGGAGGGAGGGACGGGUAGAAUCAAGGAGUGGGGCACUAGCACGGAGGCCUGAGCCUCCUCACUGCCAGGAUGAGGGAGCCGCAAUGAUCUGGGGUACUGGCAGCUCUGGGAGCCUCUGAAUAGUGACCCUGGGGCUCUCAGAAG
rnacentral:lncRNA from 1 species